rnacentral:rRNA from 1 species
AGAACGAACGCUGGCGGCAUGCCUAACACAUGCAAGUCGAACGCUCUUGGGGCUUCGGUCUCAGGGGAGUGGCGCACGGGUGAGUAGCGCGUGGGAACCUGCCCUGUUGUGGGGGAUAACCGAGGGAAACUUCGGCUAAUACCGCAUAAGCCGGUUGUCUUGAAGGAGAUGGCCGGGAAAGAUUUAUCGCGACAGGAGGGGCCCGCGUCGGAUUAGCUAGUUGGUGGGGUAACGGCCCACCAAGGCGGUGAUCCGUAGCUGGUCUGAGAGGAUGAUCAGCCACACUGGGACUGAGACACGGCCCAGACUCCUACGGGAGGCAGCAGUGGGGAAUAUUGGACAAUGGGCGCAAGCCUGAUCCAGCAAUGCCGCGUGAGUGAUGAAGGCCUUAGGGUUGUAAAGCUCUUUCGCCCGCGACGAUGAUGACGGUAGCGGGAGAAGAAGCCCGGCUAACUCGUGCCAGCAGCCGCGGU